CACGUGGGGAACCUGCCCCAUAGUCUGGGAUACCACUUGGAAACAGGUGCUAAUACCGGAUAAGAAAGCAGAUCGCAUGAUCAGCUUUUAAAAGGCGGCGUAAGCUGUCGCUAUGGGAUGGCCCCGCGGUGCAUUAGUUAGUUGGUAAGGUAAAGGCUUACCAAGGCGAUGAUGCAUAGCCGAGUUGAGAGACUGAUCGGCCACAUUGGGACUGAGACACGGCCCAAACUCCUACGGGAGGCAGCAGCG
rnacentral:rRNA from 1 species